rnacentral:rRNA from 1 species
GAUGAACGCUGGCGGCGUGCCUAAUACAUGCAAGUCGAGCGAAUGGAUUAAGAGCUUGCUCUUAUGAAGUUAGCGGCGGACGGGAGAGUAACACGUGGGUAACCUGCCCAUAAGACUGGGAUAACUCCGGGAAACCGGGGCUAAUACCGGAUAACAUUUUGAACCGCAUGGUUCGAAAUUGAAAGGCGGCUUCGGCUGUCACUUAUGGAUGGACCCGCGUCGCAUUAGCUAGUUGGUGAGGUAACGGCUCACCAAGGCAACGAUGCGUAGCCGACCUGGGAGGGUGAUCGGCCACACUGGGACUGGGACACGGCCCAGACUCCUACGGGAGGCAGCAGUAGGGAAUCUUCCGCAAUGGACGAAAGUCUGACGGAGCAACGCCGCGUGAGUGAUGAAGGCUUUCGGGUCGUAAAACUCUGUUGUUAGGGAAGAACAAGUGCUAGUUGAAUAAGCUGGCACCUUGACGGUACCUAACCAGAAAGCCACGGCUAACUACGUGCCAGCAGCCGCAGUAA